rnacentral:rRNA from 1 species
AGUGAACGCUGGCGGUAGGCCUAACACAUGCAAGUCGAACGGCAGCACAGGAGAGCUUGCUCUCUGGGUGGCGAGUGGCGGACGGGUGAGGAAUACAUCGGAAUCUACUCUGUCGUGGGGGAUAACGUAGGGAAACUUACGCUAAUACCGCAUACGACCUACGGGUGAAAGCAGGGGAUCUUCGGACCUUGCGCGAUUGAAUGAGCCGAUGUCGGCUUAGCUAGUUGGCGGGGUAAAGGCCCACCAAGGCGACGAUCCGUAGCUGGUCUGAGAGGAUGAUCAGCCACACUGGAACUGAGACACGGUCCAGACUCCUACGGGAGGCAGCAGUGGGGAAUAUUGGACAAUGGGCGCAAGCCUGAACCAGCCAUACCGCGUGGGUGAAGAAGGCCUUCGGGUUGUAAAGCCCUUUUGUUGGGAAAGAAAUCCAGCUGGCUAAUACCCGGUUGGGAUGACGGUACCCAAAGAAUAAGCGCCGGCUAACUUCGUGCCAGCAGCCGCCGUAA